AAAAAAAAAAGGAAAAAAAAAAAAAGAAAAAGAACCGAUCGUCACUAGAGCAAAUGACAAAUGACUUGAUAAUUGAUAUCCGAGACCCAAAUUCGAAUUCUAGUUGAUUCACAUUUCCAGCUAAAUUUAUUUCUAAAUGAUAUAAACGAAACGGAUAGCAUGCUACCUAUCUCUCUCUCUCAAAAAAAAAAAAAGGGAAAAAAAGAGGGGCAAACUUUAAAUGCCACUCAUAUGGUUUGGCAUUUUUUUCUUUAAUACUAUAUGGUUUAAAGUGUAUUAAUUUAUUACUAUGUGGUUUUAUUUUUCUUUUUUCGUCAACUCUUUCGUUAACAUUUCGUUAAAUUAUAUAUCAAAAAUUUCAGAUACUCUACCUAGGUUUAUCGAAUAUUCACUUUAGUAACUUUUUAGUUUUAACUUUAUUACUCAUUUAACGAAAAAAUUAGUAGAAGGGAUAAUAAAAAGAGAAAAAGAAAACCACAGAAUACUAAAUCGAUAUAUUUUAAACUAUAGAGUACCAAAGUGAAAAAGUGUAAAAUCAUAGGGAGGGUAUUUGAAGUUUUCCCAAUAAACAAAAUUGGAACAUUACUUUCUAAAUUUUAGCAAUUUUUUUAUUUC
rnacentral:lncRNA from 1 species